rnacentral:snRNA from 1 species
CCACCUCCCUGCUGGGGAGAUACCAUGAUCACGAAGGUGGUUUUCCCAGGGUGAGGCUCAUCCAUUGCACUGCGGGUGUGCUGACCCCUGCGAUUUCCCCAAAUGCGGGAAACUCGACUGCAUAAUUUGUGCUGAUUCAGCAUGGAGCAUUCCCGUCUUGC